GAAGACACAUCCGCCCAGUUGCCUCGGAGUCCUUCUCGUUGGUAUGGUGAACGUCAGGUGGCGGACCAGUUGCUGCUUGUUAUUGCGACUACGGCAACCUACCUGGCUGGCUCCGUUCAAGAUUCUGGCGUUGGUUGGAGGUCGCUCCGGUUCAUCACCAACACCAAGCUGCAGGCUAGGUGUUUGUGGAAUUGCCUGCCUCCUUUGCAACAGCAGCGGCAGCGGGGUAAGGGAAGGAGAGGAUGACUAUGCCGCGGGGGCUGGCGGCGUACAUGCUGGACAUGGUGUGGGCGGUGCUCGCCGGGUGGGUGUCGGUGUGCCUGCUGGUCGCCAACGAGAUCGCCCGCGGCAUGCGGGCCGGGGAGAUUGGCCCCUUCGUCGUGGGGUGAAAAUCUCGUUUCCAGGAAAUCCUCCAUUCUGACUCCUUCAUUCAUGCAGAUAGUUUUUUGGCGAAUCCGUCCAUGGAUACACCUCAUUGUACUGUACAGAGUCCCUAAAUCUCCAUUAGUGUUCAGCUGAAUGGCUUCGCCAUUAACUGAAGUGACAGAUUCUAGAUGAUGUUUUUGUUCUCUCCUUUCUUUGUACAAUCCUUCUGUUCUGUACUUCUGAUAGUCAUGUAAACAAUUUAUUUUCCUUUUACAUUAUUGUUCUCUAAAGAUAUGUGCAACUGCAUAAGAAUGCGUCAUGGGAGUAGUUUGGUGGCAUCCAUACAAUCUGCUGCAUGGAUAGCAACUCUGUAGAAAGAUGGGAAAAUUCAGAUCGUUUGGAGGACUAUACUAACGUGGGCAACAAGGAUGGUUACACCUAUUUCCAGGGCAUGUUCAGUCUGUCAUACGGCAUUGUAUACUAAAACAAAUAAAAAUUACAGGUUCAGAAAAAGGAUGAGAUUACAAAACAAUACAUGUCUUUGUCCUAGCCAUCAAUUUGUGUAAUCUGAUCAGGUUGUUCAAGGCCAGUCUGGCAGAAAGUAUACUGAUGUGAAGUUCCAUACAUGUCAAAGGUUUA